rnacentral:rRNA from 2 species
GGCGAACCGGGAGAACUGAAACAUCUAAGUACCCCGAGGAAAAGAAAUCAACCGAGAUUCCCUCAGUAGCGGCGAGCGAACGGGGAUUAGCCCUUAAGCAUCUUGGAAGUUAGUGGAACGGUCCUGGAAAGGCCGGCGAUACAGGGUGAUAGCCCCGUACACGAAAACAACCUUGAUGUGAAAUCGAGUAGGGCGGGACACGUGACAUCCUGUCUGAAUAUGGGGGGACCAUCCUCCAAGGCUAAAUACUCCUGACUGACCGAUAGUGAACCAGUACCGUGAGGGAAAGGCGAAAAGAACCCCUGUGAGGGGAGUGAAAUAGAACCUGAAACCGUGUACGUACAAGCAGUGGGAGCCCUUCGGGGUGACUGCGUACCUUUUGUAUAAUGGGUCAGCGACUUACAUUUUGUAGCGAGGUUAACCGUAUAGGGGAGCCGUAGGGAAACCGAGUCUUAACUGGGCGUCUAGUUGCAAGGUGUAGACCCGAAACCGGGUGAUCUAGCCAUGGGCAGGUUGAAGGUUGAGUAACAUCAACUGGAGGACCGAACCCACUAACGUUGCAAAGUUAGGGGAUGACCUGUGGCUGGGGGUGAAAGGCCAAUCAAACUCGGAGAUAGCUGGUUCUCCCCGAAAGCUAUUUAGGUAGCGCCUCGGACGAAUACUACUGGGGGUAGAGCACUGUUUGGGCUAGGGGGUCAUCCCGACUUACCAACCCCAUGCAAACUCCGAAUACCAGUAAGUAAUAUCCGGGAGACACACGGCGGGUGCUAACGUCCGUCGUGAAGAGGGAAACAACCCAGACCGCCGGCUAAGGUCCCAAAGUUCUGGUUAAGUGGGAAACGAUGUGGGAAGGCUCAGACAGCUAGGAUGUUGGCUUAGAAGCAGCCAUCAUUUAAAGAAAGCGUAAUAGCUCACUAGUCGAGUCGGCCUGCGCGGAAGAUGUAACGGGGCUCAAACCAG